rnacentral:tRNA from 1 species
UUCUGGUUAGCUUAGUUGUAGAGCUCUCCACCGCAAAUGGAGAGGUCCAUGGUUCCAUACCAGGAG